GCUGUUAUACAUGGUGUAACAAAUAAAAGAAUAUUUGUAUAGAUGUUCAAUUCAUCUUAAUAGCA
rnacentral:tRNA from 1 species